rnacentral:misc_RNA from 1 species
AAGUCGUAACAAGGUUUCCGUAGGUGAACCUGCGGAAGGAUCAUUACUUUGUAUUUGAUAUACUCGUAUAUCAUCUAAACAAAACAAACACCAAUCUGUGCUCUUUUUCUUUUCCACUCCGCACUCUUAUACAGCAUUUAUUUGCUGUCAUUUAUUAUUUCAACUGAACUAAUUGAGAAGUGUGUUAUGACUGAAUAUCUUAUAUUCUUUCAUUCCAUUCUCAUCUGUAGACAUAUGCCUUAAAACAGCAUUGUUUACUUUCAUAAUAAUUCAGCUGUAUACUUGUAUACAGUUGUACUCGAAACAACUCCUAACAAUGGAUAUCUCGGCUCUC